rnacentral:rRNA from 1 species
GACGAACGCUGGCGGCGUGCCUAAUACAUGCAAGUCGAACGCUGAAGGAGGAGCUUGCUUCUCUGGAUGAGUUGCGAACGGGUGAGUAACGCGUAGGUAACCUGCCUGGUAGCGGGGGAUAACUAUUGGAAACGAUAGCUAAUACCGCAUAACAGUAGAUAUCGCAUGAUAUCUACUUGAAAGGUGCAAUUGCAUCACUACCAGAUGGACCUGCGUUGUAUUAGCUAGUUGGUGAGGUAACGGCUCACCAAGGCGACGAUACAUAGCCGACCUGAGAGGGUGAUCGGCCACACUGGGACUGAGACACGGCCCAGACUCCUACGGGAGGCAGCAGUAGGGAAUCUUCGGCAAUGGACGGAAGUCUGACCGAGCAACGCCGCGUGAGUGAAGAAGGUUUUCGGAUCGUAAAGCUCUGUUGUAAGAGAAGAACGAGUGUGAGAGUGGAAAGUUCACACUAUGACGGUAGCUUACCAGAAAGGGACGGCUAACUACGUG